rnacentral:rRNA from 1 species
UACGUAGGUGGCAAGCGUUGUCCGGAUUUACUGGGUGUAAAGGGCGUGUAGGCGGGGAUGCAAGUCAGAUGUGAAAUUCCGGGGCUCAACCCCGGCGCUGCAUCUGAAACUGUAUCUCUUGAGUGCUGGAGAGGAAAGCGGAAUUCCUAGUGUAGCGGUGAAAUGCGUAGAUAUUAGGAGGAACACCAGUGGCGAAGGCGGCUUUCUGGACAGUAACUGACGCUGAGGCGCGAAAGCGUGGGGAGCGAACAGG